rfam:Pongo abelii chromosome 12.
UAUUCGGUUUUUUUAAAAACCAACAAACAUACAAAAGCCUUGUAAU